AAUAUACGUUCUUCUCACAAGUACAUAAAACCUUCUCCAGAAUAGACCAUAUCCUUGCCUCAGGCACGUUACUCCCGCACAUAGAAAACUUCGCCAUUGGCAAUAUAGUAUGGUCCGAUCAUGCCCCGAUAACAAUGACCUUACACUCCGCCUAUCAACAUCGAGGCAAACCACCAUGGCGCCUCAAUGACUCACUGCUAUAUGACCAAACAUUCACAGCGCUGCUGACAACGAACUUGAAAGACUUCUUCAAGACAAACGACACCCCAGAUGUCUCCAUAUUCUCAAUAUGGCAAGCCCAUAAAACGGU